CCUACGGGUGGCAGCAGUCGGGAAUAUUGCGCAAUGGAGGAAACUCUGACGCAGUGACGCCGCGUAUAGGAAGAAGUUUUUCGGAAUGUAAACUAUCUUCGUUAGGGAAGUGAAAGGAAAGUACUUAAGUGGGAAGCUUCUGCUAACUACGUGCCAGCAGCCUCGGUAAUACGUAGGGAGCGAGCGUUAUCCGGAAUUCUUGGGUGUAAAGGGUGCGUAGACGGGAAAACAAGUUAGUUGUGAAAUCCCUCGGCUUAACUGAGGAACUGCAACUAAAACUAGUUUUCUUGAGUGCAGGAGAGGUAAGUGGAAUUCCUAGUGUAGCGGUGAAAUGCGUAGAUAUUAGGAGGAACACCAGUGGCGAAGGCGACUUACUGGACUGUAACUGACGUUGAGGCACGAAAGUGUGGGGAGCAAACAGGAUUAGAUACCCCUGUAGUC
rnacentral:rRNA from 1 species